GACGAACCGUGCGAACGUUAUUCGGAAUCACUGGGCUUAAAGCGCGUGUAGGCGGGAGGGCACGUCCGUCGCUGAAAUCCCCCGGCUCAACCGGGGAACGGGCGCGGAUACGGCCUUCCUUGAGGGGCGUAGGGGGACCUGGAACUUCCGGUGGAGCGGUGAAAUGCGUUGAGAUCGGAAGGAACGCCCGUGGCGAAAGCGAGGUCCUGGACGCCUACUGACGCUGAGACGCGAAAGCCAGGGGAGCGAACGGG
rnacentral:rRNA from 1 species